GCCCGCCUAGCUCAGCCGGAUAGAGCGUCAGACUCUUAUGGCAGAUACAUCCAUUUUAGGUAAUCUGAAGGCUGCGAGUUGGUGGGCU